UAAAAACAGCAAGUGCUGCUUGGAGAGUUGGAGCGAGUUGUCACCAGCAACAGAUAACAAACACAAGUGUUGGGGGAAAAAGCUCCCGGUGUCUUGACGCUUUCCCUUGACCUCUGUUGAAGAAAAUCUCAUCUCACCGCUUCCAAAAGAAAGGGAGACUGUGGGGAGCCCCACCCCCACUGCCGUCUCCGGUGUCUGUGACUACGAGAACACGGAGGGGGGUUGCUGCGGAUGGUGCAUCAUGGGCCACACAGCAAGUCAUGCUCCACCUCUCUUCUUCCCACAGUCUAGGUGCAAGUGACUGAAAGCAAGACCGCACAUUGUCUGAGGGACCCAGAUGUGUCUCCAUUUUCUGUUUCAUCUCGACUAUGAAGCUUCAGGCUGUGCAAGGGUUGCCAGUAAAGGUGGCAGGAGAGACCGGGGACCUUCCAGUCUGUUUGAGGCCCUUUCCUCGCCAGCUGUGAGUUCCUUAGCUCAUUAACCCUCUGAAAGCUCAUGCAGAUCCUUGCUGUGGGGAUGCCUGGCUGGGCCAGCAAGCUGAAGAGUGGGCAAGCAGCCUGCUGGGGAAUCAUAUUGUGAAUUUCGCCACGAGCUACACUCAAGGACCACCAUUCUCUGAAAUGAAUGUUUGUUGACUAGAGUCCUCAGGAUCCAUUUCCAAUAACUGAAAACCCAUAUUUGUAGGAGGUCUGAAACGGACUCCACAGCCACCAAUCUCUGCUGGGACCCAUAUUUUUACAUCACUCAACACUCAUCAGAGAAGCUGCUUCUUGCAAUAGAUGGGAAUUAACACAGAGACCCACAACUGGAGAAUGCUCAGUGAGAGACUUUGGAGCACUCAUCAGUGGGGUGUUUAUAUCAAACUCCUCCUCUCAAGGCUCAGAAAUCGACGUGGAAGAGGAGGCAGAAACCGUGUAAGGGACAGAGGUGGUGAGUGACUGACUCUAAGGAAAAGGUACCUCCGUACACAGUGGGACAGAUGCACAUGUGAAUUCACAGACUGUGACAGCACCCAUGAGACCUGCACAAAUUCAAGCCCGACCAAAUCUCAGCACUGAGAAGAGGAAGUGGGCACCAAGUCCCACCCCUAGUCCGGAAGCUGCUUGCAAUUGAUGUCUGCUGGGAAAAGGGAAGAUUGGCUUUGUCCAAUGGAGUGUCACUGGGUAUAGUAACUACACUUCAGGGAAGGAAGGCCCCAUGCUCAGGAGUUGGCCAACACAAAA